rnacentral:rRNA from 1 species
AGUGAACGCUGGCGGUAGGCCUAACACAUGCAAGUCGAACGGCAGCACAGUAAGAGCUUGCUCUUACGGGUGGCGAGUGGCGGACGGGUGAGGAAUACAUCGGAAUCUACUUUUUCGUGGGGGAUAACGUAGGGAAACUUACGCUAAUACCGCAUACGACCUACGGGUGAAAGCAGGGGAUCUUCGGACCUUUCGCGAUUGAAUGAGCCGAUGUCGGAUUAGCUAGUUGGCGGGGUAAAGGCCCACCAAGGCGACGAUCCGUAGCUGGUCUGAGAGGAUGAUCAGCCACACUGGAACUGAGACACGGUCCAGACUCCUACGGGAGGCAGCAGUGGGGAAUAUUGGACAAUGGGCGCAAGCCUGAUCCAGCCAUACCGCGUGGGUGAAGAAGGCCUUCGGGUUGUAAAGCCCUUUUGUUGGAAAAGAAAAGCAGCAGGUUAAUACCCCGCUGUUCUGACGGUACCCAAAGAAUAAGCACCGGCUAACUUCGUG